UAAAAGGACUUUUUCAAGUCCAUCAAAUGUAAAAAGUUGGGUUUUUU
rfam:Merops nubicus contig52997, whole genome shotgun sequence.